GACGAAGGUGGCAAGCGUUGUUCGGUAUCACUGGGCUUAAAGGGUGUGUAGGCUGAAAGGUAAGCGUCCUGUGAAAGCCCCCGGCUCAACCGGGGAACUGCGAGACGUACUGCCUUUCUUGAGGCAAGUAGGGGUGCACGGAACUCUUGGUGGAGCGGUGGAAUGCGUAGAUAUCAAGAGGAACGCCGGUGGAGAAAUCGGUGCACUGGGCUUGUCCUGACGCUGAGACACGAAAGCGUGGGGAGCGAACGGGAUUAGAUACCCGCGUA
rnacentral:rRNA from 1 species